UCUAUGAAGUGUUCCAGUGGAAAAUGGUACAGGAUGAUCUGCUCUAAAAGGAAAUGUGGGCACUCUGUAGCAAGAGAAUUCUGGAUGGGAUAAGUGAUAGCUGAUUUCCACAUCUGAUUUAAGCACAUAGCAGGCCCGUUUCUCUGAACUGGCAAUAGAAAACACUUGGAAGGGAGAAAUCUUAUGAAUAAUUAGACAUAAUUAGGUUGUCAGCUCAUAUAUCAUUAUGCUUUGCCUCUCAGGGAUGUUUUGCAGAUUAAUUAGUUAAUGUUUGUAAAAUAAGCUCCAAGUGCCAUGUAUCAUUGGCAUAGAAUUUGAUUUUCAGUAUGAUGAAUGUAAUUAAGUCAUGUUGAUUUCAUACAAACUUUCAUUGCAGGAUAAUGUCUGUUCUGGAGUGUUCUGGAGACAUUGGAGCAUGGGUUCUUCUACUGGCAUUUUAUCAAGAAAGCUCUCGAUGUUCAGAACACUGUGACAGGCAUUUGCAUCAUGUGUGAUACACAGCUCAGGUCAAGGUACUUGCCUAGCUUUGCCUCCUCUGCUUUGGCAUCAUUUAUUCCAUGGCUUCAAGCAACAUGUCGGAAGGAUUGGGGCAAGGAGAUCAGAAGUGAGAAGAGUUAGAUAUCCAUUGAACUUGGUCAGAAGCAGGAUGAAGAGGCACUGAAUUAAGGAAAUGCCACUAGAAAUGGAAGAGGAGGACAGACCUCUAUGACUUGUUUAGCAAUUGGAGUGGGGAUGCAGGAGAAAGAAAAGAAAACAUUGAGAUUCUCUCUGGAGAGAACUUGGUACAAUAGAAGGAAAAGCUGAUACAGAAAAAAUUGAUGAGACCAUUAAAAAACAAAAACAACACAUUGCUGAUGUUAAACAGGCACCAGAAAAUAUAAUAGUGGAACUUGAGAGACUACAGGGCUAGAGACUUGAGCCAAGUAAUCUACCCUUGAACAGUCUCUGAACUCAUGGGUAUAAGUGAAGUCACUAAUGUAGAGAACCCAAAAGGAGAAGAUUACUGAAGAUAAACUUUGGGGAACUUCAAAAUUGGAAAGAUCAAGAAGAGGAUGAGGAGUCCCUGAAGGGGGAUCCCUGGGUGGCGCAGCGGUUUGGCGCCUGCCUUUGGCCCAGGGCGCGAUCCUGGAGACCCGGGAUCGAAUCCCACAUCGGGCUCCCGGUGCAUGGAGCCUGCUUCUCCCUCUGCCUUUGUUUCUGGCUCUCUCUGUCUCUCAGUCUUUCAUGAAUAAAUAAAUAAAUAAAAUCUUUAAAAAAAAAAAA
rnacentral:lncRNA from 12 species